GACGAACGCUGGCGGCGUGCUUAACACAUGCAAGUCGAACGGAAAGGCCCUGCUUUUGUGGGGUGCUCGAGUGGCGAACGGGUGAGUAACACGUGAGUAACCUGCCCUUGACUUUGGGAUAACUUCAGGAAACUGGGGCUAAUACCGGAUAGGAGCUCCUGCUGCAUGGUGGGGGUUGGAAAGUUUCGGCGGUUGGGGAUGGACUCGCGGCUUAUCAGCUUGUUGGUGGGGUAGUGGCUUACCAAGGCUUUGACGGGUAGCCGGCCUGAGAGGGUGACCGGCCACGUUGGGACUGGAAUACGGCCCGGCCUCCUACGGGAGGCAGCAGUGGGGAAUAUUGCACAAUGGGCGGGAGCCUGAUGCAGCAACGCCGCGUGCGGGAUGACGGCCUUCGAGUUGUAAGCCGCUUUCGCCUGUGACGGAGCGUGAAUGACGGUAAUGGGUAAAGAAGCACCGGCUAACUACGUG
rnacentral:rRNA from 1 species